CUGUUCUUUCGAUUCUUUCUCCAAAACCCGAAAUCUUCUGCUGAAGCUCGAUCUGUUGAAUCGAGAGAGAUUAUAUGAGUUCUCUACUCUCUGUCGUUCGUCUUCCUCCGCCGCAGAGAUCCGUGACGUCUUCGAUCUCUACGAUCAGGACAAAAAAAACGGACUGAUCUGAUCUGAUCUCCUGAGCUUCACCAGGUUCUUAAUCACCUUGGGAUGUCUUGCUCUGUCGAUGACUGCACUCGUAUGAUCGGACCUGUGGAUGCUGACGGCGAUGGGAACGUCAAUUUCGAAGAGUUUCAGAAGAUGAUGACCUCGUGCUCCCUCAUCAACAUCGGAUCUUCUAAUCGAGGUUCUGCUUAGGUCAUCCAUCAUCCUAUGGUUGUGGUGGCAUGCCAUUGUGAUGGCACGAGAUGGAAAUUCUGGGGAGACAACAAUCUGAGGAGCAAAUUCUGGGGUUUACAUGAGAGUAUUCAGCUUGAUCAUGUUGUUGUAUUGACUUUGCAAUUUGACGAUGGAGAAACCCUUCAGUGGAGUAAGGUGACUGCAUCAAUAUACAGUCUCAUGCUUGGUAAAUUGUAAUGUGAUAAUCAGGUUCAUGCCUUCAUGGUAUAGUUCAAGACAAGAGUGGGAAGACAGUUGCAACUAUGUUUGGUAAAUGGGAUGAGAACAUGCACUUUGUGACGGGUGAUUGUUCUGGGAAGGAGAAACUGAGUGAAGCUAUGUCAGGAGCUCAACUUCUCUGGAAACCAAGCAAACCUCCUGGAAACGCAACAAAGUAUAAUCUGACACGUUUCACAAUUACGUUAAAUGAGCUUCCACCUGGGCUGAAGGAGACGCUGCCACCAACGGAUUCAAGACUGAGACCAGACAAGAGGUAUCUGGAGAAUGGAGAGUUUGAAAUGGCCAACACAGAGAAGUUGCGGCUGGAACAGCAACAACGUCGGGUAAUACAAGUUGCACUACCACUGCAAAAGUUCCUUUAAUCUUGGUUUUGCUCCUCUGUUUCGGUUUUUCAGAAAUAUAUAUAUACUGAUCUUGAAUGAGUUAAAUGAGUUUAUCAGUAUCAUACACACAAAUGGCUUUUUUUUUGUAAUAAAUUAAGCACACCCAUUAUAUACAAUAAUCUAUUUACAUACAAUUAUAUAAAAUUUUAAUAUAACACACCUACACCAUUUGUGAUCAA